CCUACGGGAGGCAGCAGUGAGGAAUAUUGGUCAAUGGGCGCGAGCCUGAACCAGCCAAGUCGCGUGAGGGAAGACGGUCCUAUGGAUUGUAAACCUCUUUAGGCGGGGAGCAAUGCCGGGCACGCGUGCCCGGAGGGAGAGUACCCGCAGAAUAAGCAUCGGCUAACUCCGUGCCAGCAGCCGCGGUAAUACGGAGGAUGCGAGCGUUAUCCGGAUUUAGUGGGUUUAAAGGGUGCGUAGGCGGAUUUUUAAGUCAGCGGUAAAAUGUCCGGGCUCAACCCGGGCCGGCCGUUGAAACUGGGGAUCUUGAGUGGGCGAGAAGUAUGCGGAAUGCGUGGUGGAGCGGUGAAAUGCAUAGAUAUCACGCAGAACUCCGAUUGCGAAGGCAGCAUACCGGCGCCCGACUGACGCUGAGGCACGAAAGCGUGGGGAUCGAACAGGAUUAGAUACCCUUGUAGUC
rnacentral:rRNA from 1 species